AGGGUUUGAUCAUGGCUCAGAUUGAACGCUGGCGGUAAGCCUUAAACAUGCAAGUCGUGCGGUAACAGACAUAAAGAUUUAGCUUGCUAAAUCCGGUGCUGACGAGCGGCGAACGGGUGAGUAACACGUAGGAAUCUACCCAGUAGCGGGGGAUAGCCCAGGGAAACUUGGAUUAAUACCGCAUAAGCCCUAUGGGGGAAAGAAGGCCUCUCUUUGAAGCUUUCACUAUUGGAUGAGCCUGCGUAAGAUUAGCUUGUUGGUGGGGUAAAAGCCUACCAAGGCAACGAUCUUUAGCUGGUCUGAGAGGACGAUCAGCCACAUUGGGACUGAGACACGGCCCAGACUUCUACGGAAGGCAGCAGUUAGGAAUAUUGGACAAUGGGGGCAACCCUGAUCCAGCUAUACCGCGUGUGUGAAGAAGGCCCUAGGGUUGUAAAGCACUUUAAGCAGGGAAGAAGUAUAGUAAGUUAAUAUCUUACUAUAUUGACGUUACCUGAAGAAUAAGGACCGGCUAACUCCGUGCCAGCAGCCGCGGUAAUACGGAGGGUCCAAGCGUUAAUCGGAAUUACUGGGCGUAAAGCGCGCGUAGGCGGUUUAAUAAGUUGUAUGUGAAAGCCCUGGGCUC
rnacentral:rRNA from 1 species